AGUUACUUUUUUAAAAAUGAGAUUGGCCACGAGUCCCUAUUUGGCUGCCUUCCCCCAUUUCAUUUGGCAACUCUUGAGCCUGCAUCCUUCAGAAGAUAUGAGGAGCUUAAAAGGUGGGAAGGUGGAUUUCUUUGAUUUUUCCAGACAUCAUUGCUGAAAGGGCAUCACUACGGACCCUUUGAAGGACGCGGAGGACUAUAUCCACAGUCGUUUUGUGACCUCUUCUGGCUACAAACCUGAGCACAGAUGCUGGACCUAUUGUGAGUAAGAAAGUCAUUUGGAAUGCAAACCCCUUAGUCUUUACCUAAGAAAGGUUUAAACCAUAAGCAGGUAGGAACAGAAGCUGCUCUUGUGGUCUAAGGCAAGGGCUCUACCCUGGUUCAGAACCCAUAAGCCGUGUCAGUCUGAUUUUGUUCAUUUAAAUCCCCAGAGUCACUUUAUGACUGUGGUGGGUACUUGGUAAGUCACCUCGGGUUUCUGAGGAUGAUUAUGGACAGAAUAAUUCAGAGAUGCAUUUGUGCCUUCUGAGGUUUGUUUAUAAAAAUCUCCGUCUCAUUCAUUAUAAGCAGACAUCUAUUGGUCUUACAGUGGUUUGCCCCUUCUGUAUCUUAUCGAAUUUUAGUCCAAAUACGAUAGUUUUUAAUCUUUAAAUAGAAAUGAAUUAGAGAGGAGUAAUGAGACACCAUUUGGGAGGGUUGGCAAUUUUAAAUGUUCAAAAUCAAAAUACACAAGCAGGGAACAGUCAGCCCCAUCCUGCUGACUAGAUGAUCCAGCCAGCAGUUGGUGCUGGCACCAAAUUAUUAGCCAGACUGGUCAAAAAAAAAAAUCACAGGGGCUGGUAACUGUGUCCUCUGUGGGAAAAAGAUCUAAAAUGUAUCUCUCUUUAUACAUUUUUUAAAGGACACAGCUUUUUCUAGUAGAUUUUUGAUUGGGAUAAAAAAAAAUCUAGGGCUACGACAAGGAAAGAGGAGAGUGGGUCGAAGAAUGGUGAGAUGUGGUAGGAAUUCUUCCCUUCACCAUUGGCAGGGAGUUGGGGGUAUCUCAUCCGGUAUUAACAGGAUGUCUCAACUGGCUCGCAUCUAUGUGUGCUGUGUCACAUAUUUAUGGUUAGGUGGGAAGGCUCUAGAAAGAAUGCACUGUAAAAGUACUCACAUUAGUUAUAAGAUUCUAUGUGGGUUAGCAUGCCCAGAUCCUUUCUCAGACAUUAAGUAGCACGUGCAUCUAUACUGGACAUCACUCUAUACACGGGGCACGUGGUUUUUUUAUGAUGCAGAAAAGGACUUUCAUGGAGGUUCAUGCUCAGUCCUACAAUGCUACGGUAUCUGAGGCAGCUUUUACAGUUUUAUAAAAUGGGAUUAAUUUCCUAGUUGGGCUCUUACCUUUCUGAGUCUCAGUUCUUCGUACGCAUAAGGAUUUGUGGUCAGAGGACACACUAGAAUGUGGCAGAUUCCUGCAUGCAAAAGGGUUAUUAGCCACACACAGUGUGGUUAACAGCAUCCUUGAGUCUUGUUUUGUUUUGUAGCUUAUUUUGCGUAGUACGUUUAGGUCAUCUGUUACUCUUAGGGACAACAAGAAGCUGAGAGUUCAGUGCUAACGUUGGUGCACAGUUGGUGUAGGAGUCUUUGAUUUUCCUAAGCUAGGUCAUCCCUGUACCUCCCUCCUCCACCCCCCCUUCCCCAGAUGUCUUCAAAGAAGUUCCUCCGAGCCGAGCUCUACAUUAAUUAUCUUUAUUCUGUUGACCUUUGUUUUGUAUGUAGCCACGAGUGUCGUCAAGAUGAUUGCACAGUGAUGAUUGUUUAACAGGGGCUUAGGCAUUUUCCCUUCAAGUGUUGUCUAGUAUGCUCCCAUGUGCUGAUUUUACUUAUUGUAUGAGCACGGUCAUUCAGAAUGCCGUGAACUUCUGUUGAGAAGGGCCUCCCAAACCUUUAGGGUGCACGUUUGGAAUUUGGAAACCUCAAACCUUUUCUACAUGGGGUGGCAAGGCCAUUUGGUACUUACUCUUUGAUGAGAUACGGGAGCCAGCAACCAGCAGGUACAACCUCACAUCCUGGAAAUGAUCAAUGGUAGAGCGCUCGAUCACAGAAGAGCAGAAAUGAGCUUCGGGGGGGAUGGUGCUAAAGGCCAUAUGGCCCUGUAGGGUCUGCCAAGUUGCCCAGAGGCCCUAGAAUAGCCAAGCCAACAAAUGGACUGUUCUCUGCCGGUUAUACAAGCAGCACAGGGUUAUUUUACAAAAGAGAUGACUCCAGGAUUAAGAAAAGGUGGGACUUGCAAAUUUGGUGCUUCCUAGUCAUGGCUGGACAUGAGAUAUCUGUGUCCGCUGCCUUUUGUUUAUUGGCUCUAUUGUCCAUUGACUAUGUGGACUUUGCUUGAGUGGUGUUUGAAGUUCACUGACUGCCCUCCCUUAUUCAAUUAUUUUGAAGGGGUCUGGGGUGUGCUAGGCACCAUGUUAUUGCUGGAUAUAUGACGGGGAACAAAACAAAACUAUCUCUCACCCUCAUCUAGUGUGGAAAAUUUAAAAAGCAUAACGAGAAUGAAUAGUUACACUAGUUCAUACAAGAGCUUUAAAAGAAAAGAUGAUAUUGAAUUUUAUAGUUGCACAUAGCCAGAGAAGAUUAAUACAAUUAAGAAGCCAGAGAAAGACACUGUGGGCUAAGCUCAUGUAUAAGGAGUAUGUAUAAAUACACAGUAGAAAUUUGAGGUGACUUAAGGAAAUAGUCCAUGUAACAGAAUGGCCUUCUUGAGAUUGUAAAAUUGGGAUUUUUGGGGGCAUCUUUGAGUGACUGGAGGGGAAAGUAGAAGAUGAGGAGGUCUUAGAAGAUUCCCAUAGCCUAUUCUUCCUUCCUGUAGUGUUGGAUACCAGACAGGCAUUAGGAAGACAAGGAAAUGGCUUUUGAUGAAUUCAUAUAUUUAAAUUUUGGCACAGUAAAGUAGUUCACCGGAAAAGCAGUUUUCUGAAAACGUGUUGCAGGAAUAGGUCAGUGACCGCGGGGACAGAGGACUAGGUUAGAUUAGGGGACUGUUGUGCUAGUAGGGACUGGAGGGUGGAGUGAGGAGGAAGUAGUUUGCAAUCAGGAGAUGCAACUGAGAGGGUGUGAAUGAGAUGUGUGCACAGAGAAGACAGGAGCCUGAAGCUUGGAAAAGAUUUGCAUCACCCUUACAGAAAAGGUGCAAAGAUAGCUGAGAACAGUCUGCAAAGAGAAGACUAGUGACUAUAGAAUGCUAGAGAUAAAAGAAAGUCAACAAAAACAGCAGCAACAGCAACAACAUCAUCAUCAACAACAAUAUCAUCAUCAACAACAUC
rnacentral:sRNA from 1 species